CCCUUAGAUGUUCUGGGCUGCACGCGCGCUACACUGACACACUCAGCGAGUCUCCUGGUCCGAGAGGAUUGGGUAAUCAUGUGAGCGUGUGUCGUGAUGGGGAUAGAAUAUUGUAAUUAUUACUCUUCAACGAGGGAUUCCUAGUAAGCGCGAGUCAGCAGCUCGCGCUGAUUACGUCCCUGCCCUUUGUACACACCGCCCGUCGCUCCUACCAAUGGGUGAUCCGGUGAAUGACUCGGACUCUGGAAUUAGCUAUUUAUAGCUUUUAUCCGGAGGAAGUUUUGUGAACCUUAUCACUUGGAGGAAGGAGAAGUCGUAACA
rnacentral:rRNA from 1 species